rnacentral:rRNA from 1 species
AUACGUAGGUGACAAGCGUUAUCCGGAUUUACUGGGCGUAAAGGGCGUGUAGGCGGUCUUGCAAGUCAGAAGUGAAAUUCCUGAGCUCAACUCGGGCGCUGCUUCUGAAACUGCAGGACUUGAGUGCUGGAGGGGAUAGCGGAAUUCCUAGUGGAGCGGUAAAAUGCGCAGAUAUUAGGAAGAACACCGGUGGCGAAGGCGGCUAUCUGGACAGUAACUGACGCUGAGGCGCGAAAGCGUGGGGAGCGAACAGGAUUAGAUACCCUGGUAGUCCACGCUGUAAACGAUGAAUGCUAGGUGUAGCGGGUAUCGACCCCUGCUGUGCCGCAGUAAACACAAUAAGCAUUCCGCCUGGGGAGUACGGCCGCAAGGUUGAAACUCAAAGGAAUUGACGGGG